CUGCCCCGGGACGCGAGUUUGGAGCGGGGCUGCGGCGGCUACGGCCGCGCUGGGCGCCGGAGAGCUGGAGCCGGGCUCCUGCACCAGCCGCCUCGCCCCCGGCCCCGCCGCUGCAGCUCGAGUGCCAGUUUAGGGAUCAAAGAAGAAGGGAAGCGGGGGGGAGAGAGGAAAAAGCUGGAGCUGGAAUGCUAAAAAGAGCCCGGGCAAGGCUGAUGCAAACCGAGAUCGACCAUCAUUGUGGUGUCUGAGACGCAUGACUUCUGGCUGGCGUGUUACCCAAGUUUUACCUCUCUGUGAACUUCCUUUAAAUUUAAAAAAAAAAAGGGAACGCAGCAGCACUUGAAAAAUGCUGACCCUGGAGAACAUGGUGCAUCAACUCAGUGCUUUUGGUCCUUGAGCCCAUUCCUUUUCUCACUGUGGCCAAGGAGCGUUUUGGAUGCAAAGCCAUAAUUUCUAAAUCUUGAAUCACUUGCACCUACCUUGCUGGUGUCAGAAGAGAGUGACCACGGGCCUGACCUCAUACCACAAUUCAGCAGCCCUGUAAAGGAGGAAAAUCACAAGUGCUCUGAAAAGUUAUGUUCACACACAACAUGGGUGGCAGUUCAAAGGACCACUUAAAUACAUACCUGAGAUCUACAGACCUCAAUUAUUUCUAAACUGUGGCUUGCUCUACUUCUCUGCCUAUGCAUUGUGAAAAUAAAUCACUCAGUUCUGUUACUAUGUUUUACGUGAAAUGAAUGUUAAAUAUUUUCAUAAAUAUAGCUUCUCCCUUAAUAAAGAAAACUGUGUAUUAAAAAUAUAGCAUUUCCUUUGAUAGAAGAAAAUGGGAAAGUUUCAAAAAUAAAACCUCCAGAGAAUAAGUUCUUUGCCACUGUGAUAUAAGGCUGUAACUGUAAGCCAUUAGGCUUUACAAUCUGUAAUGACCUUUUAGAGAAAUUUACAAUGGAUAAAUUAGUUAUUCAGAAGUUGUGCUGCUGCUCUCCAUAGGAAAAAGUUAAAAGGAAUUUUUUUUUCAAAAAUAAAAGUAGCAAGAGCUGAA